CCCUUAGAUGUUCUGGGCCGCACGCGCGCUACACUGAUGCAUUCAACGAGCCUAUCCUUGACCGACAGGUCCGGGUAAUCUUUGAAUCUGCAUCGUGACGGGGAUAGAUUAUUGCAAUUAUUAAUCUUCAACGAGGAAUGCCUAGUAGGCGCAAGUCAUCAGCUUGCGUCGAUUACGUCCCUGCCCUUUGUACUCACCGCCCGUCGCUCCUACCGAUUGGGUGUGCUGGUGAAAUGUUCGGAUCGGCCGUUUGUCGCGGUUUCCGCGUCAUGUGGCUGAGAAGUUCAUUAAACCCUCCCACCUAGAGGAAGGAGAAGUCGUAACA
rnacentral:rRNA from 1 species